rnacentral:lncRNA from 1 species
GAGAAUAUAUAUCAGUGAUGGACGCAUCGUCAACAGAUGUUGGAUCAGACUUGGUUGUAGUAGACUGAUCUGAAUCAAGCGGGUCUCUCCCAGGUCUGCUCUGAACGAAAAAACCUGGUUGCCGAGGCACUGGUAAAGUCACAGUCUGACUAGUGAGCAUUACAAAAAUGGUUGAAAAGGUCGGACGCUCUACAGGAUCUUCUUGAACACAUAAAAGACCAAUAUGGAUGCAUCGAACCACUUCACUGUUCGGGCAGUUAUCAAUAAUAAUAGGGUCUACGAGGUGUAACGCUCUACCGUUACUCCAAAGCCUCCACGCCUAGAAUAUUAAUCAAUCACUCAAUUCUUGCAAACAUCGCUUAUUAUUGUAAGAGAGCUAAAUACAAAAAACACGAUUGCCUAAAAAACUUACAUAUGUAACUAGGUCAUGUGCGCCGUCUAUCUCGUUGAAGCUGUUGUUCUUCAUACCGCUAAUAAUCUCAAGAACUAACACUCCAAAGCUAUAAACAUCUGAUUUCAUUGAGAACUGGCCAUGAAUCGCAUAUUCAGGAGCCAUGUAACCACUGGAAUCCACAACAAAACUAUGGUAAAUUGGCAAAAUCAUGUUUAACAAAUUUCAAUUAAGAGAAGUUAAGUGAAAGACUUACUAGGUGCCAACUAUCUCGCUUGUGUUAUCAUGGGUUUGGUCCAUUCCAAAGAUCUUGGCCAUUCCAAAAUUGGCAACUUUCGGAUUUAUAUCUGCUUCCAGGAGAAUGUUACUUGCUUUAAAGUCACGGUGUAUAAUUGUGAGCCGUGAAUCUUGAUGGAGAUAAAGAAUCCCCCGAGAAAUCCCUCCAAUGAUCGUGUAUCGGUGAGUCCGGUCCAGCUGACCUUUGUUUGAAGGGUCUGUGUGUGCAUCCAUGAAUUACAAUUAGAUCUACAGAUUUAUAAUAUGAGUAUUCAAGAAAAUGGCUAAAGAAUAAUUGAAAUAAAGCAAUAAAUGCAACUGACCAAAGAGGAAGUAAUCAAGGCUUUUGUUGGGCACAUACUCAUAGACCAAUAUCCUUUCUUUUUGUUCUAGAGAAAAUCCUAGGAGCCUAACCAAAUUUCUAUGCUGAAGCUUUGCAGCAACAGCAACCUCGUUGUUGAACUCUGUGUCACCUUGUUUUGAUGAUUUUGACAGUCUCUUCACCGCAACUUCAACCCCAUUUGGGAAUGUACCCUAUAUGUUUUCAUCAGCAUCAUCUUGUUAUCCAAAUGUUUUGACAUAAAAUUUCAAUAAGAAGUACAGAAGUUAAGGCAAAGUUAACGAGCUAAAAGUAAUAGUACCUUGUAAACCUCGCCAAAUCCACCUUGGCCAAUUUUAUUAUUUUCAGAAUAAUUAUUUGUUGCAGCUUGAAUUAUUCUAUAAUCAAGUUGCAGCGACUCAAUGGUCGUAAUAUCAUCUCCUGUUGCACAAUAAGCCGUAGCAAUCAGAUGGGACCCAAAACAAACUGAUCAGUGACAUAAGCUAAACUUAGUUAAGGUUGUUAAGGUUGUUAUUCACUGAAAUCUUUACCAUAAAAGGCUGGUGCAUUAUCUUAAGUCUUCUUUGUCCUCUUAGCAAGGAAACAAUAACCAGCUAUUGAAAGCAGAACGGCCACUACAAUAGCCACAACAAUGGCUACUAUCACCAUUUUAAAAUUCCAAUGUUUACCUGAAUGUAAAAAAAAAAGACAUUUUCUUGAGAUUGGAUAGUAUUGAACAUUUUGAGAAAACAUAGGAAGACGAAUUAGUUCACCAGGUCGUGGAAGAGAUGAGACCGGAGAAGUAGAGGCGGGAGGAGGUGGUAACAGCCGUUGCGGUGGCGGCGAUGCUUGUUGUUCUGGAGGUGUACCAGUGCCGGUUUCAUUGAAGAACAAGUAAAGCUUACCUAGCAUUACAACUAGGCCAGAUAAGUGUACCCCCAAUUUUGUUAAGAGGCAUUCCAUCGAUGGACUGAUGCAGGAACGCAAACAGUCGUAUCUUGACAGAUCAGGAGUGCACUGAACCAGGCCGUAUAGAGUCUCGAGUGCCGUCCAAUUGGCUUUGAUCGUAUAGAACUUCCUAGAACUGUUAGCUGCUUUGUCGGCAGCUUGGUUCAUCAUGGUCGACACCAAAUCUUCGAACCGGUCUUCUUGAUUAGAUGAAACAUUUCCGUUCAACCUGAUUAACCCUCCUUCGUUGCAUAUAGCUGUAAGCUGUCGAUAGAAUGUUCCGGUGAGAGUAUCUGAGCAUGCACUCGUCGCAAUAGAACACAGCCUCACUCUCAUUCGGACACCGAGAUAAGGUUUCGUUGACGGAGAAGGCGACGCAGCGAAGGCAAAUUUCUGGAGAGACAUCUCCCCGGCAAAGGAAAAGUCCCGUGACCCUGUCGAGGUCGUGUCCCACCGUGGAGUUCUGGAAUCCGGUGGAGUAGGAGGCGUCAGGGGAAGAGAGAGAAGACAAAAGGGUUUCGAGAUUGGUGAAGUAAGUGCUGUUUCUUGUAUAAGUUGUUGUAUUUGGACAUGAAUGGUAUAUGUAACCAGGAUUUGAGCAUAAGCUCUGAAGCUAGCGAGUAAGGAGAAAAGGACAAGGAAGAUGAAAGAGGUGCAAUAAGACAUGGUUCUGACUUCUUUCAUUUGUGUUUACAUCAGGACGCUCUCAUAUCAUUUAUAUAACGAAUAUAUUUUUCCUCUUUGUGACUUUUGUAGAUUGCCGUGAAACAUGGGAUGGAUUGUGGAGUGGCGACGACGGUGAGUCAAUCAUAAGUCAAAGUAAACGUUUGUUUCUUAAAUGAAAAUUUUAUUAUACAGUACAACAAAAAUAUGAACGUAUUAAGUGGAUAAAGCCAUGUAAGAAAACUCCAACAUUUUUAGACGAAUCUGACAAGAAAAACAUAGCCUUUUAAACGUUCUUGUUUUGCUUUCCCUCUUUUUCUUUACAUGUAUGUAUGAGCUACUAUGUGACCAAGUUCCUACUAUUACUGCCUGAUUUGUGGAAGCUGCUAUUCCACUUGCCACUAAUAAUCCCCUGACAGGGUCAAACAGAGAAUUUGGGGGUUGUAGGUUUACUUUAUAUUUUUCAGAUUUUAGAGUUUAUGUCUAUCUAAUUUUCUUCAAAAAAAUUGGAGACUAUAUAUGCCAAAGCUUCAUUCAGCUUUGUUCACGACUGGCUCUGUCCAUAACUAAGACCAAAAGCUAUAUAUACAUCAGAUUUUGUGGAGUACUGGCCAUGCAUUGCAUACUCGGGGACAUAUAACCGCUGAAACAUAGAAUGAACUUGAGCAUAUAGAUGAUAAUCAAAGAUUUCAAUUCAUAGGAUUUCAAAGAGGAAAAUAAUUUACUAUAUUCCAAGUAUUCUGCUUGUAUUUUCAAGGGUUUGAUCAACCCCAAAUCCCAAUAAUCCUGGCCAUGCCAAAAUCCGCAUUUUUUCGGGUUCAAAUCAGAAUCUAAUAGAAUGUUUUUGACUUUAAGGUUGCAGUGUAUGAUUGUAAGGCUUGAAUCUUGAUGAAGAUAUAGAAUUAGCAAUCCAUGAAAUGAUCUUGUAUCUCAUUGUCCAGUUACUCCAGUCCAACUGCCUAAUUGCUUUUUAGGGUGCCGCACAUCCAUGCAUACUCCUAAAAAAUUAUGUUUUCAAUAAUGUGGAUACAUCUUCUCACUUCUACACACUGAGAAUUCUCUGAAACCUGAUCGUGUCUUACCAGUUUAAACAGAAGUCGAAGUCAAAAGUCAGUGCUUAAACUCAAUUAUAUUUUUCUUUGUUUUACAAAAAACCUUACAGAAUUCAUAUUGAAAACUAAACGAAACAUGGAGCUUGCAUCAAAUAACACCACAACCAAAUUGGCUUACAAAUGGUGUUAAUUGAUUUCAAUUUCUAUAAUAAACAGAAAAGCCAAAUUAAAACUAAACUAUAUUCGACAGCUACAAAAGUUGUUAACUUGUUUUAAAAAUACCAGUAGGUUCAAACUUUAAGGUAAAAACACCAUGUUCAACGAGAAUAUAUAUCAGUGAUGGACGCAUCGUCAACAGAUGUUGGAUCAGACUUGGUUGCAAUAGACUGAUCUGAAUCAAGUGGGUCUCUUUCAGGUCUGCUCUGGACGAAAAACCCUGGUUGCCGAGGCACUGGUAAAGUAACAGUGUCACUAGUGAGCAUUACAAAAAUGGUUGAAAAGGUUGGACGAUCUACAGGAUCUUCUUGAACACAUAAAAGGCCGAUAUGGAUGCAUCGAACAACUUCACUGUUAUGGCAGUUAUCAAUAAUAAUUGGAUCCACGAGGUUUAAAGCUGUUCCAUUACCCCAAAGCUUCCAAGCCUAGAAUAUCAAUCAACCAGUCAAUUCUUGAAAAAACUGUUUACUAUUGUAAAAGUGCUAAAUAUAAAGCUUGAUUGCCUUUAAACUUACAUAUGUUACCAAGUCAUGUGCACCGUCUAUCUCGUAGAAGCUGUUGUUCUUCAUACCGCUAAUAAUCUCAAGAACUAACACUCCAAAGCUAUAGACAUCAGAUUUCAUUGAGAACUGGCCAUGAAGCGCAUAUUCAGGAGACAUGUAACCGCUGGAACUCACAACAAAACUUUGGUAAAUUUGCAAAAUCAUGUUUAACAAAGUUCAUCUUACAAGAAGUUGUGUGGAAGACUUACUAGGUGCCAACUAUCUUGCUUGUGUUAUCCUGGGUUUGGUCCAUUCCAAAGAUCCUAGCCAUUCCAAAAUCAGCAACUUUCGGAUUCAUAUCCCGAUCUAGGAGAAUGUUACUUGCUUUGAGGUCACGGUGUAUAAUUGUGAGCCUUGAAUCUUGAUGGAGAUACAGAAUUCCCCGGGCAAUCCCUUCAAUGAUCUUAUAUCGUAGUGUCCAGUUCAGCUGACCAUGCUUUGCAGGGUCUGUGUGUGCACAUCGAUGGUAUUAUAGUAAACUCUAAUAAUUUGUAAUCCCAAGUUUCAAGAAUAUGGCAAAAGAAUAACUGAAACAAAACAACAAAUGUAACUGACCGAAGAGGAAGUAAUCAAGGCUUUUGUUGGGCACAUACUCGUAGACCAGUAUCCUCUCUUUUUGUUCAAGAGAAAAUCCUAGAAGCCUAACCAAAUUUCUAUGCUGGAGCUUUGCAACAACAGCAACCUCGUUCUUGAACUCUGUGUCACCUUGUCUUGAUGAUUUCGACAGUCUCUUCACCGCAACUUCAACCCCAUUCGCGAAUGUUCCCUGUCCAUUUUCAUUAGCACCAUCUUGUUAUCCAAAUGUGUUGACAUAAAUUUUCAAGAAAAAGUACAGAACCUCAUGGAAAAUUAAGGAAUAGUACCUUGUAAACCUCACCAAAUCCACCUUCACCAAUUUUAUUAUUUUCAGAAUAGUUAUUUGUUGCAGCUUGAAUAAUUACAUAAUCAAGUUGCAGUGACUCAAUGGUUGUAAUAUCAUCCCCUGUUGCACAAUAAUUCCUAGCAAUCAGAUGAGACAAAAAAACUGAUCAAUUAAGGUUGUUAUUCACUGGAAUCCUUACCAUAAAAGGCUGGUGCAUUAUCUGAAGUCUUCUUUGUCCUCUUUGCAAGGAAACAAUAACCAGCUAUGAAAAUCAAAACAGCCACUACAAUACCCACGACGAUGGCUACUGUUAACACUUUUGAAUUCUCAUGAUGUUUACCUGCGUAUUAAAAAAAAAACAUUUUCUUGAGAACGGAUAGUGUUGAAUAUUUUGAGAAACCAUAGUAAUAAAUAGAUGAAGAUAAAAGAGUUCACCAGUUCGUGUAAGAGAUGAAACCGGAGAAGUAGAGGCGGGAGGAGGUGGUAGCGGUGAUGGCUGUGGUGGCGGCGGUGCAUGUUGUUCUGGAGGUGUUCUAGUGUCGUUUUCGUUGAAGAACAAGUAAAGCUCGUACCUUGCAUUACAACUAGGCCAGAAAAGUCUACCCCCAAUUUUGUUAAGAGGAAUUCCAUCGAUGGAUUGAUGCAAGCAACGCAAACAGUCAUAUCUUGUCAGAUCAGGAGUGCACUGAACCAGGCCGUAUAAACUCUGGAGUGCUGUCCAGUUGGCUUUUAUCGUAUAGAACUUCCUAGAACUGUUAGCUGCUUUGUCGGCAGCUUGGUUCAUUGUGUUGGACACCAAAUCUUCGAACCGGUCUUCUUGAUUGGAUGAAAUAUUGCCGUUGAACAUGAAAAACCCUCCUUCGUAUACAAGCGUCGAUAGAAUAUUUCGGUGAGAGUAUCUGAGCAUGCACUCUUCGUAGUAAAGCACGACCUCUUUCUCAUUCGGACACCGAGUUAAGGUUUCGUUGACGGAGUAGGCAACGCAGCUACGACAAACUUCAGGCGAGACAUCUCCCCGGCAGAGGAAAAGUCCUGUGACCCUAUCGGGAUCGCGUCCCACCGUGGCGUUCUGGAAUCCGGUGGAGUAGGAGGCGUCUGGGGAAGAGAAAGAGGACAAAAGGGUUUUGAGAUUGGUGGAAUAAGUGCUGUUCCUUGUAUAAGUUGUUGUAUUUGAACAAGAAUGAUAUGUGUAAUGAGGAUUUUGAGCAUAAGCUCUGUAGCUAGCGAGUAAGGAGAAAAGGACAAGGAAGAUGAAAGAGGUGCAAGAAGACAUGGUUCUGACUUCUGUCAGUUGUGUUUACAUCAUGAAGCACUCAUUUAUAUAACGAAUAUAUUAUUUCUCUCUUUGUGAUUUUUGUAGAUUGCCGUGAAACGGGGGAUGAUUUGUGGAGUAACGACUACGGUAAGUCAAUCAAAGUCGUUUUAGCAAAAAAAAAAGUCAAUCAAAGUCAAAGUAAACGCUUUUUCUUCUUCUUAAUGUCACUUUUAUUAUGCAACAAAAAUAUGGACGUAUAAAGUGGGUUUUGAAGAAGUCAGACAAGAACAAGACAAGAAAAACAUAGCCUUUUCAACUUUCUCGUCUUUCUUUCCCUCUUCUCCUAUACUCUUAUUUAUGAUGUAUACAUAGACAAGUGUCUAUAUGCCUUUUUUUUUUUUUGAAACAAGACAAGUGUAUAUAUAUAUGCCUAUUCUUAUUUUUAAUGUUGAAUAACACAUAAACAUUACCUGGAGAAAAAGAACACAUUACCUGAAACAUGUUUUAACAACUUCAACGAGGAUCCAGAUCUCUAAUUAUUACAUCAUUUAUAGUAUGAGAUUUGGGCCGUAACCUAUACUGCCGUGAAUCUUGGUUGCGGCUAGUUAGAAAGAAGAAUCCAAGAGAUAGAGAAACAGAUAAAAUGACAGAGUCGAUAGUGAGCAUCGACAUGAUUGCUGACAAUUUGGGACGACCAAUAGUGAUAAUUAUUGUGUGUGAGUAUUUAGUUAUUCUAUCUCUUGUCAAUUUAAUAACGUGAACUUCGGUGUACAUUAACAAUGAAAUUACUAUUGGGUCUUGGCUUAUGGAAAGACUAUAAUCUCAGCGAGGGUUAACACUUGUAAUCGAUGCAUCAUCGACAGAACAAGCAAAAGACAUGAUACUAGACUGACCAAUUGUUAUUCAUUUGUGUUUACAUCAGGACGCUCUCAUAUCAUUUAUAUAACGAAUAUAUUUUUCCUCUUUGUGACUUUUGUAGAUUGCCGUGAAACAUGGGAUGGAUUGUGGAGUGGCGACGACGGUGAGUCAAUCAUAAGUCAAAGUAAACGUUUGUUUCUUAAAUGAAAAUUUUAUUAUACAGUACAACAAAAAUAUGAACGUAUUAAGUGGAUAAAGCCAUGUAAGAAAACUCCAACAUUUUUAGACGAAUCUGACAAGAAAAACAUAGCCUUUUAAACGUUCUUGUUUUGCUUUCCCUCUUUUUCUUUACAUGUAUGUAUGAGCUACUAUGUGACCAAGUUCCUACUAUUACUGCCUGAUUUGUGGAAGCUGCUAUUCCACUUGCCACUAAUAAUCCCCUGACAGGGUCAAACAGAGAAUUUGGGGGUUGUAGGUUUACUUUAUAUUUUUCAGAUUUUAGAGUUUAUGUCUAUCUAAUUUUCUUCAAAAAAAUUGGAGACUAUAUAUGCCAAAGCUUCAUUCAGCUUUGUUCACGACUGGCUCUGUCCAUAACUAAGACCAAAAGCUAUAUAUACAUCAGAUUUUGUGGAGUACUGGCCAUGCAUUGCAUACUCGGGGACAUAUAACCGCUGAAACAUAGAAUGAACUUGAGCAUAUAGAUGAUAAUCAAAGAUUUCAAUUCAUAGGAUUUCAAAGAGGAAAAUAAUUUACUAUAUUCCAAGUAUUCUGCUUGUAUUUUCAAGGGUUUGAUCAACCCCAAAUCCCAAUAAUCCUGGCCAUGCCAAAAUCCGCAUUUUUUCGGGUUCAAAUCAGAAUCUAAUAGAAUGUUUUUGACUUUAAGGUUGCAGUGUAUGAUUGUAAGGCUUGAAUCUUGAUGAAGAUAUAGAAUUAGCAAUCCAUGAAAUGAUCUUGUAUCUCAUUGUCCAGUUACUCCAGUCCAACUGCCUAAUUGCUUUUUAGGGUGCCGCACAUCCAUGCAUACUCCUAAAAAAUUAUGUUUUCAAUAAUGUGGAUACAUCUUCUCACUUCUACACACUGAGAAUUCUCUGAAACCUGAUCGUGUCUUACCAGUUUAAACAGAAGUCGAAGUCAAAAGUCAGUGCUUAAACUCAAUUAUAUUUUUCUUUGUUUUACAAAAAACCUUACAGAAUUCAUAUUGAAAACUAAACGAAACAUGGAGCUUGCAUCAAAUAACACCACAACCAAAUUGGCUUACAAAUGGUGUUAAUUGAUUUCAAUUUCUAUAAUAAACAGAAAAGCCAAAUUAAAACUAAACUAUAUUCGACAGCUACAAAAGUUGUUAACUUGUUUUAAAAAUACCAGUAGGUUCAAACUUUAAGGUAAAAACACCAUGUUCAACGAGAAUAUAUAUCAGUGAUGGACGCAUCGUCAACAGAUGUUGGAUCAGACUUGGUUGCAAUAGACUGAUCUGAAUCAAGUGGGUCUCUUUCAGGUCUGCUCUGGACGAAAAACCCUGGUUGCCGAGGCACUGGUAAAGUAACAGUGUCACUAGUGAGCAUUACAAAAAUGGUUGAAAAGGUUGGACGAUCUACAGGAUCUUCUUGAACACAUAAAAGGCCGAUAUGGAUGCAUCGAACAACUUCACUGUUAUGGCAGUUAUCAAUAAUAAUUGGAUCCACGAGGUUUAAAGCUGUUCCAUUACCCCAAAGCUUCCAAGC